GUGUCAGCAGCCGCGGUAAGACGUAGGGCGCAAGCGUUGUCCGGAAUUAUUGGGCGUAAAGAGCUCGUAGGCGGCUUGUUGCGUCGACUGUGAAAAACCACGACUCAACCGUGGGACUGCAGUCGAUACGGGCAGGCUAGAGUUCGGUAGGGGAGACUGGAAUUCCUGGUGUAGCGGUGAAAUGCGCAGAUAUCAGGAGGAACACCGGUGGCGAAGGCGGGUCUCUGGGCCGAUACUGACGCUGAGGAGCGAAAGCGUGGGGAGCGAACAGGAUUAGAUACCCUGGUAGUCC
rnacentral:rRNA from 1 species